AAGCUUUGUCCGGAUUUACUGGGCGUAAAGAGCGCGCAGGCGGUCGAUCAAGUCGGGUGUGAAAGCCCCCGGCUCAACUGGGGAGGGUCAUUCGAAACUGGUCGACUCGAAGGCAGGAGAGGGUAGUGGAAUUCCCGGUGUAGUGGUGAAAUGCGUAGAUAUCGGGAGGAACACCAGUGGCGAAGGCGACUACCUGGCCUGUUCUUGACGCUGAGGCGCGAAAGCUAGGGGAGCAAACGGG
rnacentral:rRNA from 1 species